CGCAAAUUAAUGCAUGAGUUCGCAAAUGCCAGGGUGCAUGGCCGGCCAAAUAUACCGCGGCGCUGAACAGUUCUAGCUAUGUCUGAUAGCCCUGUGUGAUAACGGUAUGACACUGUGCCCAUCUUUAGCACGGAGUAUUAUACGGCUCUUGAGAAAGCGAGAGUAAAUAAGGAUAGCCAUAAUUUCACACUGCCAGCCACGGUUUUAUUUUUCACUUCUCAACUUUGCUAUCUAUAGUUUGCUUUAAGAUUUUUGCUUUAAGAUUUUUGCUUUAAGAUGUUUGCUUUAAGAUUUUUGCUUUAAGAGCAUUCAACCCGCAGUGCAGGUUGCAGCGAAGGUGGUCUCGUGUAGCAUGGCCCUAAUUAUACUAUUCAUAGAUUUCGAAUUUAUACUCAGUGUUAUAUUUGUUAACAAGGGCCCACAGUAAUUGGCUUAUACUGUUGUGGUGCCCCGCCAUUCGUUGUUCUACUGUUUAAUUAAUGUUUGUAUACAACACGUUUGUGUUAAAUAAAUCAAUAAAUCAAUUAACCUUCAAUUCAAAUGGUACUAAUUAACUUUCUCUUAAAAACACAGCUUGAUAUUUCUAUGUAUAUUAAAAAUCGAACUCCGUAGCUUUUAUCCAAGUGUGCUGUAAAGAACUAACUUGUAAAAAUGUGUCAAAUUUUUCACCGGUCGAAAUCUUGGUGUACGGACGACAGUAAUGUUUACCGCAGCUGAGUAACAUUCAUACAGCCAAUUCAAAAAAGGUUGCCCUUUGCAAACCUUAAAGUCUGAACCUUAAACUCUAAGCGCGCAAAGUUUAAUGGGAGACAAGUUUCAGGCUUAGUAUAGUUGAAUAUACCAAAUUGUUCUCGUAAGGAGAUAUUUACCACGUCUCUAUAAGAAAUGGGCCCCAAUACGCUUUCUAAACUGAUUAAAUUAUGCUCCCAUCAUGCUUUGCACGCUUAGAGUUUAAGGUUUAGAGAUUAAGAUUCGCGAAGGAAAACCUUUUUUCUGCGUAUUAAAUUUGUGUUUUGUGAGUAUUAGCAAAAACAACGUCACGUAUCAGUAUUGUGAAUGGCCCCUUGGUAAAACACAGCUUGAUAUUUCUAUGUAUUGAAAACCAAACUGCACGUAGCUUUUAUUGAAGUGUGCAAUACAGAACUGACUUGUAAAAAUGUGUCGAAUUUUCAACCGCUUGAAAUCUUGGUGUACGGGCAGUAAUGCUUACUGCAGCUGGGUAACUAUUCAUUAUAUAUAUAUAUAUAUAUAUAUAUAUAUAUAUAUAUA